rnacentral:rRNA from 1 species
AUUGAACGCUGGUGGCAGGCCUAACACAUGCAAGUCGAACGAGUGGCGGACGGGUGAGUAAUGUCUGGGAACCUGCCCGAUAGAGGGGGAUAACUACUGGAAACGGUAGCUAAUACCGCAUACCAUCGGAUGUGCCCAGAUGGGAUUAGCUAGUAGGUGGGGUAAUGGCUCACCUAGGCGACGAUCCCUAGCUGGUCUGAGAGGAUGACCAGCCAGACUGGAACUGAGACACGGUCCAGAGUCCUACGGGGUGCAGCAGUGGGGAAUAUUGCAAAAUGGGCGCAAGCCUGAUGCAGCCAUGCCGCGUGUAUGAAGAGGGCCUUCGGGUUGUAAAGUACUUUCGGCGGGGAGGCGUUACCCGCAGAAGAAGCACCGGCUAACUACGUGCCAGCCGCCGCGGUAAUAC